rnacentral:rRNA from 1 species
GACGAAGGGGGCUAGCGUUGUUCGGAAUUACUGGGCGUAAAGCGCGUGUAGGCGGUUGUUCAAGUCAGGCGUGAAAGCCUUGAGCUCAACUCAAGAAAUGCACUUGAUACUGGAUGACUAGAGGACCGGAGAGGAUAGUGGAAUUCCCAGUGUAGUGGUGAAAUACGUAGAGAUUGGGAAGAACACCAGUGGCGAAGGCGGCUAUCUGGACGGUUUCUGACGCUAAGACGCGAAAGCGUGGGGAGCAAACAGG